UUAGGCCGAACUUUUAAUAAUUCGUCUUAACAGAGUUGUGGAUCGCGGUGUAAAUCUGCAAAAAGCGAAUAUAUGGAAAGAGUGGGGGGAGGUUUAGAAAUAAGUCUGGCAACAUCCGGAGUCAGACAAUGCUCGUUCUGGUCCGGUGUGACUCUUACACCUGGAUCCUCAACACGUUUGAAGGAAGUAAUUCGCAUUGAUUGGAGUUUACAUUUACAGGGGUGGUUUUUUUCCCCGGGGGGUGGAGUUAAAGGAUCGGGUUGCCAGGGUAUGCAAGGCAAAGUACAUUUUCUUGGAGGUCAAGUUCCAUUGAAACCGAAGACAUAGACUGAAAGGUUGGAGAAUAUGACGCUAUUAACAUGGUCGUGGAACUACCGAUGUCCCAUUGAGUUCAGAGGAGCAGGUGUGCGUUAAUUCUCCCAUUCAAAUGGAUGUGGAUGGAGAGGGCUGAACUUUGGCGUGUCCCCUCUGUCUAAUACGCGAGGCCCUGAAAAAUGCUUGACUAAUAAGAGGAAGAUUGCCAGUUCGAUUCCCCGGGAAACACCUAUAUCCGGCAGCAUCUCACACUGCGCGGGGAGGAGGCAAUGGAAAACCGCUCCUGUAUUCUGCCAAAAGAAAACCACAGGGCUCUGUGGGCGCCAAGAGUCGGAAUUGACUUGACGGCUGGCCCCGAUCCUAUAGAUCUUCACUGAACCUACAUAUUCUCCCCUGCAUCUGGAUCAGAAGCGCAGCCCUUGUUAACCGCCGUUGACUCCCGAAGGUUAUAUAAGGCGGCAAUUAUAGUGUUAUGGCUUCUGUAGGAUCCUAAAGCAACAUUUCUCUAGGCAAGAGAAAUAAUUCUGCGAAUCUAAGCAACGGCUGACAUGACAUCUGGUCAACUGAACCUCUCACCGCAAAUCCCCCGCAGUUGGAGUUCUCCCCCUUGGGUCCCCAGACGUUGUGGGACUACAACUUCCAUCAUCCCCAGCCACGAUGGCCCCCGACAACAUCUAGGGGAUCCAAGAAUCCCUGCCGAGAAUCCUGGCUCUGUAGUAAUGAGUGACUAUCCCUUACCCUUGGGAGACUCCGGAGGAAAUCUGACUGAGAUGGAAGCCCCACCGAGUCCAAAAUAACUCACUCCUCUGAAUAAACAGGAUUGCCGCCUGAGAAUACUUUCCUCUCCGUUUAGUACAAGGAAUAGUGGUGUGAGCCCUUUGAGAUGGGGAGCCCUUUGGGGACAGCGAGUCAACUUUAUUGCUUUAAUAUUAU